CGGGAUGCGUCCCGUGAAGGAAUGUGGCGUGGGAACACGCUGAACCUGGAU
ncrna:unclassified sequences eL15-Euryarchaeota ribosomal protein leader